AUGGAAUUGUUUGCAAAUCAAUACUUUAUACAUUUCAUUAAAGUAGUUUUGAUCUACAACCUUAUUUAAAGUGCAACUAGAAUUCUCAACAAUAACAGUGGACACUGAUUUACCACAUAUUGAAUUACAUUUUAAAAAAUGACAAAAUCCACCAUUGCCCAAAGUUUGCUUCUGUCAAUACAAGCAUGUAAAAUAAAUUUAUUGUUAUUAUGAAUCUACAUGUACAUGCAGUCUUGUAACGUAUACUCUGAAUAAUUGCAAUGAGUAGACUAAUUUGAAAGUUGAAAAUAUAUUUAUUGUAUUCAAAAUUUACAGGGAUGGAAAGAACUUAAUGCACUUGUUCUCUCUGCAUUUGGAACAUGGAAGCAGAAAUUCAAACUGAGAGUGGGUUGUGGACAUGGAUAUUUCCUGACUGUAAAAGAUGUAGAAAAUGGCAAACUGUUGGAAAGAAUAGAAAGUUUAAUGUCACAGAAUUUAAAUGAAGGAUAUAAUUACUUUAUGGAUGUCGUUUUUGUAGAAGCCCAGAUUUUAAUUGUAUCACAUUUGAGAGGAAUAACCAUUACUGAGGCAGAUAAACUUCUUUAUCCAGUUAAAAAACAUAAUGAACAAGUUUGAUUUCUUAUUAUAUGUAUAGUUGUGAAUAAUUGUCAAGUGUGUAGUUGUUGUAUGAAAUGAUUGUAUAGUUUUUAAAUUAAUAUGAACAUGGAAAUUGAGUUUGUAUUUUCUUCUUUAUUUCCACUUUAGUCAUGUCUCUUUUUGAUUAAAUUAUAGAAAUACACGUAAGCAACUAACAGCACCCCUGGUACGGGAUAACGUUUUGUGCUGUAUUGUUUAUAUAUCGAUUCUAUGUUUGAUCAUGUUGCCCAUGAUGGCAAGUGGAAGUACAGUAGAACAAUAUAUAUUAAUAGAUAAUGUAAAACUUGUACAUUAUGCAGAUAGAUGCCUGUUUUGUAGUUGUGAAUAAUUGUUAAGUGUGUAGUUGCUGUAUGAAAUGAUUGUAUAGUUUUUAAAUUAAUAUGAACAUGAAAAAUGAGUAUGUUAUUUCUUCUUUAUUUCCACUUUAAUCAUGUCUCUUUCUGAUUGAAUAUAGAGAAAUACACGUAAGCAACUAACAGCACCCCUGGUACGGGAUAACGUUUUGUGCUGUAUUGUUUAUAUUGAUUCUAUGUUUGAUCAUGUUGCCCAUGAUGGCAAGUGGAAGUACAGUAGAACAAUAUAUAUUAAUAGAUAAUGUAAAACUUGUACAUUAUGCAGAUAUAUGCCUGUUUUGUUGUUGUGAAUAAUUGUCAAGUGUGUAGUUGUUGUAUGAAAUGAUUCUAUAGUUCUUAUAAAUUAAUGUCUGUAUUCCAGUAAACAUGGAAAAUGAGUAUGUUAUUUCUUCUUUAUUUCCACUUUAAUCAUGUCUCUUUCUGAUUGAAUAUAGAGAAAUACACGUAAGCAACUAACAGCACCCCUAGUACGGGAUAACGUUUUGUGCUGUGUUGUUUAUAUUGAUUCUAUGUUUGAUCAUGUUGCCCAUGAUGGCAAGUGGAAGUACAGUAGAACAAUAUAUAUUAAUAGAUAAUGUAAAA